UACGUAGGGUGCAAGCGUUGUCCGGAAUUAUUGGGCGUAAAGAGCGUGUAGGCGGCCCGAUUAGUCCGCUGUGAAAGUCCAGGGCUCAACCCUGGGAGGCGGGUGGAUACUACUGGACUAGAGUACGGAAGAGGAGAUUGGAAUUCCUGGUGUAGCGGUGAAAUGCGCAGAUAUCAGGAGGAACACCGAUGGCGAAGGCAGGUCUCUGGGCCACUACUGACGCUGAGAAGCGAAAGCAUGGGGAGCGAACAGG
rnacentral:rRNA from 1 species